rnacentral:rRNA from 1 species
GGGGAAUAUUGGACAAUGGGCGAAAGCCUGAUCCAGCCACGCCGCGUGUGUGAUGAAGGCCUUCGGGUCGUAAAGCACUGUGGAGAGGGACGAAUGGAGCAGAGGAAUAAUACCCUUUGCUAGUGACGGUACCUCUUUAGCAAGCACCGGCUAACUCCGUGCCAGCAGCCGCGGUAAUACGGAGGGUGCAAACGUUGCUCGGAAUCAUUGGGCGUAAAGCGCGUGUAGGCGGUAAGCUAAGUCGAGUGUGAAAUCCCUGGGCUUAACCCAGGAAGUGCGCUCGAAACUAGCUAGCUAGAGUACGAGAGAGGGUAGCGGAAUUCCCGGUGUAGAGGUGAAAUUCGUAGAUAUCGGGAGGAACACCAGUGGCGAAGGCGGCUACCUGGAUCGAUACUGACGCUAAGACGCGAAAGCGUGGGGAGCAAAC